GAUGAACGCUGACAGAAUGCUUAACACAUGCCAGUCUUUGGCGAAGCUGUGCUUGCACAGCCUAGCCAAGGCGGACGGGUGAGUAACGCGUAAGGAACUUGCCCUGCAGUCAGGGAUAACAGACGGAAACGACUGAUAAGACCUGGUAAAGUCAGGCGGACUCAUGUCCAGCCUGAUGAAAAGUGAUGCUGCAGGAGAGCCUUGCGUCCUAUUAGCUUGUUGGUGGGGUAACGGCCCACCAAGGCGAUGAUAGGUAGCCGGCCUGAGAGGGUGGACGGCCACAAGGGGACGGAGAUACGGCCCUUACUCCUACGGGAGGCAGCAGUGGGGAAUAUUGGACAAUGGGGGCAACCCUGAUCCAGCAAUUCUGUGUGCACGAUGAAGGUUUUCGGAGUGUAAAGUGCUUUCAGCAGGGAAGAAAAAAAUGACGGUACCUGCAGAAGAAGCGACGGCUAAAUACGUG
rnacentral:rRNA from 1 species